GAGCACUUAUAUUAGAGACGGUGUCUGUGACUUGCUGUUUGUGUGUGAGCUGGCAAACGUGUGUGUACGUGUUGGAAUUACGCGGAAUAAUGGCGAGAUACUGACGCACUUAUCUGACGUGUUGAAUAUAUAGACCUAUUUGCCUGGUCGCCUGAUAAAGCAUUCACAUCAAAAUGGCUGAGGUGCACCGUCGCAGAAAAGCUCCCGGUGAUGUGUGUUGCUGCUGUUCGGGCACAGGAGCUGUUGUCUGGGCGCAUGUUGUGUCCGUGGAGCCGGCAACUCACUCACCCCUGCAGUGACAGUGUGUUUGGCAGGUUUGGACGUCAGGUUAGCCACAGGGACCAGCUGCGUCCUCAGCGCGCUCCUGAACAGACGGGACACGGCGGGCAGAGACAUUGUGACUGGUCGGUGCUGCAGACACGAAGGACCGGAGGAGAAGGAAGAGAACCGGAGAAGAGGGACGACAGGCGGCUUAACCGUUACUCACACUGAUGGUCGACUUCCAGGUUUCAUCUACCAAUAUGUAUGUGUGUAUGGGUGCGUGCGUGUGUGCGCACAUUA